CCUACGGGAGGCAGCAGUGAGGAAUAUUGGUCAAUGGAGGCAACUCUGAACCAGCCAUGCCGCGUGCAGGAUGACGAUCCUAUGGAUUGUAAACUGCUUUUGUACAGGAAGAAAUGCAAUUACGUGUAGUUGUUUGACGGUACUGUAAGAAUAAGGACCGGCUAACUCCGUGCCAGCAGCCGCGGUAAUAAU
rnacentral:rRNA from 1 species